AGACCCGAAACCCGGUGAUCUAGCCAUGGGCAGGUUGAAGGUUGGGUAACACUAACUGGAGGACCGAACCGACUAAUGUUGAAAAAUUAGCGGAUGACCUGUGGCUGGGGGUGAAAGGCCAAUCAAACCGGGAGAUAGCUGGUUCUCCCCGAAAGCUAUUUAGGUAGCGCCUCGUGAAUUCAUCUCCGGGGGUAGAGCACUGUUUCGGCUAGGGGGUCAUCCCGACUUACCAACCCGAUGCAAACUGCGAAUACCGGAGAAUGUUAUCACGGGAGACACACGGCGGGUGCUAACGUCCGUCGUGAAGAGGGAAACAACCCAGACCGCCAGCUAAGGUCCCAAAGUCAUGGUUAAGUGGGAAACGAUGUGGGAAGGCCCAGACAGCCAGGAUGUUGGCUUAGAAGCAGCCAUCAUUUAAAGAAAGCGUAAUAGCUCACUGGUCGAGUCGGCCUGCGCGGAAGAUGUAACGGGGCUAAACCAUGCACCGAAGCUGCGGCAGCGAACGUAUCACCCAAGACAA
rnacentral:rRNA from 1 species